rnacentral:rRNA from 1 species
UACGUAGGGGGCAAGCGUUGUCCGGAUUUAUUGGGCGUAAAGAGCUCGUAGGCGGUUUGUCGCGUCUGCCGUGAAAACCCGAGGCUUAACCUCGUGGCUUGCGGUGGAUACGGGCAGACUAGAGGUAGGUAGGGGAGAAUGGAAUUCCCGGUGUAGCGGUGAAAUGCGCAGAUAUCGGGAGGAACACCGGUGGCGAAGGCGGUUCUCUGGGCCUUACCUGACGCUGAGGAGCGAAAGCGUGGGGAGCGAACAGG